ACGGAAGCCGGGUGAGGCCAAGGCCGAGCCGGAAGAGAAGGCUCGAUCUCCCGAUCUCGGCUCCUAGCACGGGUCCCGGAACCCACGCGGAGCACAUACCGCGAAGAAGGUAAUAGGUUUGCGGGCCUGCGUAAUUGCGGAUAUCGGACGACCACGACGACCCCUUGGGUGGGGUUGCAGUCGUAACGGUUCGCAGGGACGCCGAGGCCACCCACGCAACCCAACCGGCACGCCUGGUAACCGGUGACCCGUGCUAGCGGGCGGUGAGCCGAUGUGGUCGCAGGACCACUUCGGGUCGCCGCCCGCUUCGUUUG
rnacentral:ncRNA from 1 species